rnacentral:tRNA from 1 species
CGAAUUGCUUGAUUCACUUGCGAAAAGCGAUUGGGUUUAGACCCGAAAGUGUGACGAUUGGGUCUGUAGCUCAGUUGGUUAGAGCGCACCCCUGAUAAGGGUGAGGUCGGCAGUUCGAAUCUGCCCCGACCCCACCAAUUGUCGAGGGCGCAGCAGGUCUGAAGGGGCCAUAGCUCAGCUGGGAGAGCGCCUGCUUUGCACGCAGGAGGUCAGGAGUUCGAUCCUCCUUGGCUCCACCAUCCACACAAUCGCUGAAAGCUCAGAAAUGAGUGCCUGGUUCAGGUAUUGAUUUCUGGUCUUUGCGCCAGAACGUUCUUUAAAAAUUUGGGUAUGUGAUAGAAGUGACUUGUUGAGUGUUUCACUGCACUCAGCAACUCAAGGCAAAAUUUGCGAGUUCAAGCGCGAAUUUUCGGCGAAUGUCGUCUUCACACCAUGACCACUGGCAGAUUGCU